GAUGAACGCUGGCGGCGUGCCUAAUACAUGCAAGUCGAGCGAACAGACGAGGAGCUUGCUCCUCUGACGUUAGCGGCGGACGGGUGAGUAGCACGUGGAUAACCUACCUAUAAGACUGGGAUAACUUCGGGAAACCGGAGCUAAUACCGGAUAAUAUAUUGAACCGCAUGGUUCAAUAGUGAAAGACGGUUUUGCUGUCACUUAUAGAUGGAUCCGCGCCGCAUUAGCUAGUUGGUAAGGUAACGGCUUACCAAGGCAACGAUGCGUAGCCGACCUGAGAGGGUGAUCGGCCACACUGGAACUGAGACACGGACCAGACUCCUACGGGAGGCAGCAGUAGGGAAUCUUCCGCAAUGGGCGAAAGCCUGACGGAGCAACGCCGCGUGAGUGAUGAAGGUCUUCGGAUCGUAAAACUCUGUUAUUAGGGAAGAACAAAUGUGUAAGUAACUAUGCACGUCUUGACGGUACCUAAUCAGAAAGCCACGGCUAACUACGUG
rnacentral:rRNA from 1 species